rnacentral:lncRNA from 1 species
GAGAAGGGGAAGACUGACAUCUGGCCUUUAUUUGAUGGGGUUUACUUUUCCUUCCCUCCCCCAUGUACCUGCUUCCCCUCAGGGAGAGGAGCAUGUAGGACACUGAUUGGAGUUUCAGGAGGCCUGGGUUCUAGUCCCUGACUGUCACUGAUGCAUAGUGACUUUAAGCAAGUCACUUUUGGGCCUCAUUGACCCUAUGUGAAAAACGAGGACAUUUAUCU